GUAGGGAAUAUUGCGCAAUGGACGAAAGUCUGACGCAGCGACGCCGCGUGAGUGAUGAAGGCCUUAGGGUCGUAAAGCUCUGUUGAAUGGGAAGAAAAAAAUGACGGUACCAUUCGAGGAAGGACCGGCUAACUUCGUGCCAGCAGCCGCGGUAAUACGAGGGGUCCUAGCGUUGUUCGGAAUCAUUGGGAGUAAAGGGUGUGUAGGUGGCCAUGUAAGUCAGGUGUGAAAGCCCCGGGCUCAACCCGGGAAGUGCACUUGAUACUGCGUGGCUUGAGUACCGAAGAGGGUAGUGGAAUUCCAGGUGUAGUGGUGAAAUACGUAGAUAUCUGGAGGAACACCGGUGGCGAAGGCGGCUACCUGGUCGAGUACUGACACUGAGACACGAAAGCAUGGGGAUCAAACAGGAUUAGAAACCCGGGUAGUCC
rnacentral:rRNA from 1 species